UGACCCCUGCCGUGUUCGUUAGUGACCCGGGUAUUUUCUUGAGCCUAAUUAGUGCCCUGGGAGCAAAAUGUCGAUGCCGGUGUGCAUGUCCGCCUCGUAGCGGGAAGCCUGAAGCAUCCCUGCUGUUCCCACUUGAACCUACCGGUUCAAGAACAAUGGUUUGCGACGGCACAUGUGGGGGUUGU
rnacentral:other from 1 species